AUAAAAAUAACAAUAGUUAACACUUCCCUGCCAGGAAGCUCAUGUUACAAAUGAGUACCGAGUGGUCCAUGAGAACAACAGAAACCUAACAUGGUCUUCUGUUCAAGUUGUAAGCCACUAAAUGAGAUUUUUCACCUGCAUGGAUUUGGCAGAGUUUUGCAAAUAACACUUUCCACAAAGUCCAUCUGUACAGAUCAGCUUGGUCACUUGAGAGCUAACAAGCCCAUGUACAUACUUUAUGCAGAGACUCUUUUGCACAUUAAGGCUUGCUGUCUCGUUUGCCUUCUCAUCCAUAACACGUUGUAGGCUGUUUACAGGAGGUUGCUAUUCUGUGGAAUCCCUUUAACUGUCUGGUGUAUUUGGCUUAACCUUGCUUCCUGUAUUUUCUAGCUUCCCCUUCUGGAAUAGAUGCCAUUAACCAUACCCAGUGGUAGACGCUCUCCUGCAUGCGUACAAGGAGAGCAAAUGUAUAAAUGCAGAUUGAUAAAUGUUUCUUUUAUUAUAUCAGUGAUUGCCUGUAAUUCUGACUAGAUGCUCUGCUUUUAUGAUAAUAAUGUACUAGUUUAUCUCCAACUCUUUAAGACUGUUCUGCUCUGUGUGAAUUUAAAGCAUGCACUCAGAGGACUUCUUUAAGAGCAAUUCCUACUUUCACUGGAGCCCUGGUUCUGAGACAUCUGCUUCAAUCUCUUGUGUCUCCAGUUGAAUUUACUUUAUCAGGCACAGCAUUACACCUGCUGCAUAUGUCUCAUACAUGAUUUGGAUUGCUGCUUUACUCCUUCUGUGCUUAGAAGGGCUUCAAAGACAUACUGGAGGAAAAGAGGAAAAAGAGGGUGAAUUCUUUUUUUUCUUUUUCUGCAUCCUCCUUUCUUCUUGGCCCUUCACAUUUAUAACUUCUAUAGCAUUGCAAGGAUGGCUGUUCACAAGCCAAGAACCCUGAGGGCCAAAAGCUCUUGAAGUAGGAGAAAAAUAAAGCUCGUGCCUUAAAGUGUUUCUUAAACUUAAA